GCAAGUCGAACGAGAAAGCCCUUCGGGGCAAGUAAAGUGGCGAACGGGUGAGUAACACGUAAGAAUCUUUCCUUUAGUGAAGAAUACCCUCGAGAAAUCGAGGCUAAUACUGCAUAAGUCCCUUCGGGGAGAAAGGCGGCCUCUUGCUGCCGCUAAAGGAUGAGCUUGCGGGCUAUUAGUUUGUUGGUGGGGUAAAGGCCUACCAAGACGAUGAUGGCUAGCCGGCCUGAGAGGGUGUAC
rnacentral:rRNA from 1 species